rnacentral:rRNA from 1 species
AUGAACGCUGGCGGCGUGCCUAACACAUGCAAGUCGCACGAAGCUUGCCGGAUGAUUUCUUCGGAAUGAAACCAGAUAUGACUUAGUGGCGGACGGGUGAGUAACACGUGAGCAACCUGCCUUUCAGAGGGGGAUAACGGCUGGAAACGGUCGCUAAUACCGCAUGAUGUGUUCGGAUGGCAUCAUCUGAACAUCAAAGAUUUAUCGCUGAAAGAUGGGCUCGCGUCUGAUUAGAUAGUUGGUGGGGUAACGGCCUACCAAGUCUACGAUCAGUAGCCGGACUGAGAGGUUGAACGGCCACAUUGGGACUGAGAUACGGCCCAGACUCCUACGGGAGGCAGCAGUGGGGAAUAUUGCACAAUGGGGGAAACCCUGAUGCAGCAACGCCGCGUGAAGGAUGACGGUUUUCGGAUUGUAAACUUCUUUUCUUAGUGACGAAGACAGUGACGGUAGCUAAGGAAUAAGCAUCGGCUAACUACGUG